ACACCAGCACCACGCACGCACGUGACUUGGCUCUCGCGCGCACACGCCUCUCCCUAUCGAUCCCCAACUCACGCCCACACGCCCCGGCGACGCUGCCGCCGUCGCCUGCUGUUUCCCCGGCCAACUCCAGCCAUGCCUCGCGCCGCUGUUUGCCGCCACAACUCCGCCUUGCUCUCCUCCAUAGAUUUCCCCUUGGCGCCUCCUCUCUACACCUUUGCUGCGCGCCCGCGGCAAACCCUAGCUCGCGGGUUGGCUCCGACGCCGCCGGCCGCUACCGGCUCCGGCGCCACCGGCUGCUCCCCUUGGUCGACACGACCUCCUCUACGUUUAUGUCGGCCACACCGCCACUUGGUUCUGUCUCGACCACCUCCAGAACACCCGCUCGACCUGGCUGUGCUCGGCUCACUUCGGCACCGGCGAGGUCGGGAUCUUGUCCGCCUCGUCGAGCUCUGUAUCCUUCCCCAACUCGAUUUGGUUUUCACCGCUUCUCUCAUAUGCCCCCGACCCUGAAACCCUAACGGUGAUCGAUUGAUUUGGGCACCAUCGGCCCCUUCUGGCACUACGGCCUGUCGCGCGACUCCGCCACGGAGUCCACCACCACCUCCCGCUACCUCAUCUCCCUUUGCUUCCGCACGUGGCUUCGCCCACUGCUACCCAUAGCAGUGGUUCCGGCGCGGUCGCCGGCGUGAUGCGGCGCCCGCUGCGCUACCCUCUGGCCCUCUGCGUCAAAUACGCUUCCUUCACGAGCUGUGCUCGACCGCCUCUUUUCCGGCGAUUGCUGGACGGCAGCGUAGCUGCAACCCAAACGCCCUUGAUCUCAAGCCUUGUGACAUUGUUGUCGUGUUGGUGUACUGACAAUGAGGUGGUGACUGCUUUAUCCUUGACGCCGGCCGGACGGCGUCUGCGACUGCAACCCCGGCGUCACCUACUGCUCCUACUCUUUACUUCACUCACUGUGAGCUACACCUCUCCCUUCUCUGUCUAAGAUUAAAGUGUGGUAUGCAUAAAAAAUUACUACAUAUAUGUGAUUGUGUCCCAAAUAUUGCCUACUCUCUGUACUGAUAUGUGCGGUGGAAAUUCUCCUAAUUUAACGAUGUAUUCAUCAAGCAUUCGUGUUGAACAUGGAUUUGUGAUAAAUGGUUGGUUCUAUAAGUGUAAAUAUAUAAUUGCCCAGUAAUUAGUGGGGUGUCUCAAUUUGGAUGAUCGGCUCAUCCAUGGCUUGCUGGUAUCUUAAACUGAUGAAACUGAAGAUAUACUACAACAGGCACUAUUUACCUGAUGCUUGCUGUGAGCUCCUAUGCCUGCUUAAGAUGGCUUUGCUGGUAUACUUGAUUGAUGCCCUUGUAGCUAGUGGAUUGAGUGAUAACUAGUGGAUGCAAUUCUACUUUUUGUUGCUCUCUAUUAGAGAAGAAAAAUAUGGAUCUAUCUUAUUGGCUGCAAAGCUUGCUUUGUAUGCUGACAGUAAAGCUUCAAUGUUUUACUUCAAUCUGAUGGUUUCUCAGGAUAGUUUUAUAGAGUAUAGCCUAGCAACUCAUGUGCAUGCUUAGCUAGAGCUUUUGGAUGGCUCAUUAUGUUUCUCUACAACAAAAGAGCAACUACUCUAGCUUGCUUCAAUAAUGUAGAUGGUUAGGCUACUCUAGGAACUCUUCCUGUUGACCAAAUGAUGAUUCACACAAUCUCCUAGAUGAUUUAUUGCUGGUAUACUUUUCUGGGAAUAGAUCUUAUAUGCUCUGAUCCUGGAUAGGAUGUAUACCUGAUUCCAUUUCCUGGAUAAAAUGUUUAUGGAUCUGAAGUACUUCUUGUUCUUGUUGCUCUACACCUCCUUUGAGUUGAGCGUGCUCCUCCUGGCUCCUGCUAUGUUGCCACAAUCGUGUUUCUUGUUCUAGUUUGGGUUUGAUCAUGAGCUACUACUACUCUGAUUUGUUCUUAGAUGGAUAUAGGAGGUUUUGGAUGAAGAAUAGUUGCCUUUUACCUGGUUGUUCUUAGGCUGGUCGAUGGGUAUGAGAAAAUUGGGGUGCUUGGGCAGCUGUGUGCUGUAGGCAGAAGCAAUAUAUACCCUGCCCAUCUAUUCUCUGUGGUUGACAACAAACGCAUGCAACCUUGUGCGUGUGCUGCUUGCUUGCCUGUUGCAUGUCCUGGGUAGAUGCAUCUCCCCUUGGGGAUAGGCACGGCUGAGAAAAUAUCUCCCUCUUCCAUUUCUCUUUAUUUUUAACAUAACCACUUGGCAUUACCAUCUCUUCUUGUUUGCUUUGUUUGUUUUGCAGGGUCUUACUUAAACAAGAGAUGAUGAUCUUCAAGUUUAGUUUAGGAUUUGAUUUUCUUUUCUUAUACUUGUAAUUGUAACUACAUUCUUAUUCUUUAUUAUUUUUGUAAAGACUUUGUAUUAUUGUGUUAAUAUUAAUAAAGAAAUGUUUUCCU